AAGGAUUCCCCUAGUAACGGCGAGUGAAGCGGGAAGAGCUCAAAUUUGUAAUCUGGCGGUCUCAGGCCGUCCGAGUUGUAGUCUGGAGAAGUGCUUUCCGUGCCGGACCGUGUACAAGUCCCUUGGAACAGGGCGUCAUAGAGGGUGAGAAUCCCGUCUCUGACACGGACUACCGGUGCUCUGUGAUGCGCUCUCGAAGAGUCGAGUUGUUUGGGAAUGCAGCUCAAAAUGGGUGGUAAAUUCCAUCUAAAGCUAAAUAUUGGCGAAAGACCGAUAGCGAACAAGUACCGUGAGGGAAAGAUGAAAAGCACUUUGGAAAGAGAGUUAAACAGUACGUGAAAUUGUUGAAAGGGAAACGCUUGAAGUCAGUCGCGUCUCGUGAGACUCAGCCGGGCCUUGCCCGGUGCACUUCUCGCUGUGACGGGCCAGCAUCGAUUUCGAUCGUCGGAGAAAGGCUUUGGGAAUGUGGCACCUUCGGGUGUGUUAUAGCCCUUUGUCGUAUGCGACGGUGGGGAUCGAGGACCGCAGCACGCCCUUCACGGGGCCGGGGUUCGCCCACGUAACGUGCUUAGGAUGCUGGCGUAAUGGCUUUAAGCGACCCGUCUUGAAACACGGACCAAGGAGUCUAACAUGCCUGCGAGUGUUUGGGUGGAAAACCCGGACGCGUAAUGAAAGUGAAAGGUCGGGACCUCUGUCGUGGAGGGCACCGACGCCCGGACCAGACCUUCUGUGACGGUUCCGAGGUAGAGCAUGUAUGUUGGGACCCGAAAGAUGGUGAACUAUGCCUGAGUAGGGUGAAGCCAGAGGAAACUCUGGUGGAGGCUCGUAGCGAUUCUGACGUGCAAAUCGAUCGUCGAACUUGGGUAUAGGGGCGAAAGACUAAU
rnacentral:rRNA from 2 species